GGCUGCCGUGGCCGAGUGGUAACGUUUGCGACUUUGAUUCGUCAAGUCGUGGGUUCUAGGCCCGUCACGGUCU